rnacentral:lncRNA from 1 species
GGGUAUUUGAAGUCGUGUCCGUGUUUUAAUGUCAGAAUGGGUUUACUAGUUUAGUGGCUUGUUGUGUGUUAGUGUACCUCUGGGUUCUGAUUUCGAACCGUCAUGUGUGUGGUUUGGGGAAAUAAUUUUAAUUUAGUUUUGUUUUAAAGUCCAAAAUACCUAUUUUAAUUUUAAUUUUUUUUUUGGAUAAAGCUUCCCAAAAUCACUUUCACAUUCUCUUGUUUCUCUCCCCACUCUCUCUUGUCAGUUUUUAUUUUUCUUCUCUUCUUUUUAUUUUUCUUCGGGUUUUAAAAAU